UACGUAGGUGGCAAGCGUUGUCCGGAAUUAUUGGGCGUAAAGCGCGCGCAGGCGGUCCUUUAAGUCUGAUGUGAAAGCCCACGGCUCAACCGUGGAGGGUCAUUGGAAACUGGGGGACUUGAGUACAGAAGAGAAGAGUGGAAUUCCACGUGUAGCGGUGAAAUGCGUAGAGAUCGGGAAGAACAUCAGUGGCGAAGGCGGCCUGCUGGGCUGUUGCUGACGCUGAGGCGCGACAGCGUGGGGAGCAAACAGG
rnacentral:rRNA from 1 species